UACGAAGGGGGCUAGCGUUGCUCGGAAUCACUGGGCGUAAAGGGUGCGUAGGUGGCGCUGUAAGUCGGGUGUGAAAUUCGGAGCUUAACUCCGAAACUGCAUUCGAUACUGCGGUGCUUGAGGACUGGAGAGGAGACUGGAAUUCAUGGUGUAGCAGUGAAAUGCGUAGAGAUCAUGAGGAAGACCAGUGGCGAAGGCGGGUCUCUGGACAGUUCCUGACACUGAGGCACGAAGGCCAGGGGAGCAAACGGG
rnacentral:rRNA from 1 species